rfam:Parasutterella excrementihominis CAG:233 genomic scaffold, scf356
UAAACGGUUGUUUUCACAACCACCUCAAACCACGAUGUAGAUAGUA